AGGAUGAACGCUGGCGGCGUGCCUAACACAUGCAAGUCGAACGUCCUGUCUCGCAAGAGGCAGGGAGUGGCGGACGGGUGAGUACCACGUGGGUGAUCUACCGUGAGGUGAGGAAUACCGGCGAGAAAUCGCCGACAAGACCGCAUAGCCUCGGUGCAAGCCGAGGAAAGCUCUCUCGAGAGAGGGAGCGCCACACGAGGAGCCUGCGCCCGAUUAGCUAGCUGGUGGAGUAACGGUUCACCAGGGCGACGAUCGGUAGCUGGUCUGAGAGGACGAUCAGCCACACUGGGAUUGAGAACGGCCCAGACUCCUACGGGGGCAGCAGUGAGGAAUUUUCGUCAAUGGGGGCAACCCUGAACGAGCAACGCCGCGUGCAGGAAGAAGGUUUUCGGAUCGUAAACUGCUUUUCGUCGGGGAAGAGAACGGACGGUACCCGAGGAAUCACGCCCCGGCUAACUACGUGCCAGCAGCCGC
rnacentral:rRNA from 1 species